rnacentral:rRNA from 1 species
UACGUAGGGUGCGAGCGUUGUCCGGAAUUAUUGGGCGUAAAGAGUUCGUAGGCGGUUUGUCGCGUCUGCUGUGAAAACCUAAGGCUCAACCUUGGGCUUGCAGUGGGGUACGGGGCAGACUAGAGUGCGGUAGGGGGUGACUGGAAUUCCUGGUGUAGCGGUGGAAUGCGCAGAUUAUCAGGAAGAACACCCCGUGGCGAAGGCGGCUCUCUGGGGACGGGUA